CUAAAUGAAAAAGGUAGGGCCAAGUCAGUACUAACAGAUUCCUUUAAUUUAUUGAUAGAAUCAGUGGAAUUUUUAACUAUAUGCCAACAGUAAAAGUUUAACAUAAUUAGCAAAAAUUCUGACCCUAGAUUUCCUUGACAACAUGUUCCAUGCCAACAGCAUUCUGUUGUUGUGCUAGCAGAGCAAGCCAGAACUCCUAGACACUUGUCUUCAGGAACGAUGGGACUGAGCUGUGACUUCCGUAAUGAGGUUGGAAUUUAACGGAAGCACAUAUCAUGGUUAUGCGGCAAAAUUUUAGCCUUUCACAAGCUCCCAUCUACCAAAAUGCAACUACAUCCUACUUCAAAGAUCACCCUUUGCAGAGAUUUGAAGAUUUUUGUCUUGGUGGCUGGAAAACCUUCCCAGGAAAUUUCCAGGUAAGACGCACAAAUCACCAUCUUAAAUGGUGUUUGUUACAAAGAGCAUAGGGCUAAUAAAGUUAUUAUUAGAAAGUUGUUUGGCUGGUGA
rnacentral:lncRNA from 1 species